rnacentral:rRNA from 2 species
AGUCGAGCGGAUGAGUGGAGCUUGCUCCAUGAUUCAGCGGCGGACGGGUGAGUAAUGCCUAGGAAUCUGCCUGGUAGUGGGGGACAACGUUUCGAAAGGAACGCUAAUACCGCAUACGUCCUACGGGAGAAAGUGGGGGAUCUUCGGACCUCACGCUAUCAGAUGAGCCUAGGUCGGAUUAGCUAGUUGGUGAGGUAAAGGCUCACCAAGGCGACGAUCCGUAACUGGUCUGAGAGGAUGAUCAGUCACACUGGAACUGAGACACGGUCCAGACUCCUACGGGAGGCAGCAGUGGGGAAUAUUGGACAAUGGGCGAAAGCCUGAUCCAGCCAUGCCGCGUGUGUGAAGAAGGUCUUCGGAUUGUAAAGCACUUUAAGUUGGGAGGAAGGGCAGUAAGUUAAUACCUUGCUGUUUUGACGUUACCAACAGAAUAAGCACCGGCUAACUUCGUGCCAGCAGCCGCGGUAAUACGAAGGGUGCAAGCGUUAAUCGGAAUUACUGGGCGUAAAGCGCGCGUAGGUGGUUCGUUAAGUUGGAUGUGAAAGCCCCGGGCUCAACCUGGGAACUGCAUCCAAAACUGGCGAGCUAGAGUAUGGCAGAGGGUGGUGGAAUUUCCUGUGUAGCGGUGAAAUGCGUAGAUAUAGGAAGGAACACCAGUGGCGAAGGCGACCACCUGGGCUAAUACUGACACUGAGGUGCGAAAGCGUG